ensembl:lncRNA
GGAGUGAGGCACGUCGCAGCUCGCUGGCCUUUGGGCCGGGGGGCGGGCGGCCCCCGGGCGCUCGAGUGCUUCUUCUGGCCAGUGCGAGGUUUUGAAUCAAAACGGUCUUGUCUUCAACCAGAAGAGAUUAUUCAAGUUCAGUUUGGAAUUAAGGUAUUUCUGUGUUGUCUCCUGAGUGAGGUUGUCUUGCUCCAAUUAUUGGGCCACCUUCCCCAUUAAAAUGUGGAUAUCUCUUCUCUACACAUUACCUCUGUGAUUUGGAUUGGAAAAGGCUGCUUUUCUUUUCGUUCCACCUUCUCAGAUUCAACACAGAGAAGCUCCUGGGAUGCAUUCAUCCUGCCAACUUCUCCAGGAAAAAAGAGGCAACUGACAUGCAUCUUCUGCUGCUCUUUGCUUAAUCACAAAGAAAUUAUUUGACAUGCUAAAGGCCGGUACCUAAUUUAAAGCAGGUGCUUAAAUGGUGAUAUCUGUGAGUUCUUUACAUUUUGUUCCAAACAAGAAAACUAAAUAAAUAGCAAGUAUGGAUGACAUGAGGGUUUUUUUUUUUUAAUGUCUUCCAGUUUUUGUCACCAUCAUGAUACGUACGCAUAGUUGAGACUGCAGCAGUAGAUUCCAAAUUAUGCGUUCUAAUUUGAAAUGAGAUGCUUUAAAAAUUACACAUAUCUAAAUCCUGGCUCAUCCUCUGACAUGGAUUUACUAGAUAAGAACAAAGGUCCAAUUUCGCAAUAAAACCUUUGAUGUCAUAAAGAAACAUAAAGACAAGAUAUCACAAGGUUAAUUUCAUAUGUGAAUAGACCAUCUCAACUAUAAAUACACAUUUUUACACGUGUAAAUCCACAUUUUUGGCUGAUAAGAGGGAUUUUCUCCUAAAGAAGGAAGCUGUGCUGACUUCUUUCUUAGAAGUCUUUGGAUACUUGGUAUUUUUAAAUUUUUUUUUUCCAUUCUGCUAAGGAAAGACCACAAUGUUUAGAUGGUAACCCUAUUGAAUGCCUGCUUGCGUUUAGUGAAAGGUUGGUAAAAGGAAACAAAACAGUUUUGAGUCCAGUGAUGGAACCCUCUUCACCUUCCUAGGAUGAGAGACUACUGUAUUGCAGAUUACUUCAUUCACUUUUUGGACAUUAUAUAGCACUUGAGACUUGGUUUUACAUGCUGCUGAGGCUGGAAGAAAAGUGGCAUAAGUGGUUUUUCUGUUCAGAAGAUGUGAUGGACCCUACAGUAUGACCUGCCUUCAACUUUGGACCUAGAGGAGUGGCAGAAAAAAUGAUGACAGUCUUCAUACUAUUUCUUUCUCCUAAGGAAAAAAAGUGAAAAUGCUUUAUGCAGCUCCAUCUCACUUUAUGGCACUUCACAUUCUACAGCUCUGUUUUCUGUAAAAGCAUAAAUGACUUCUUUCCUUUGACCCGGGAUAGGUUCUUGGGUGUUUGAUUUAUUUUUUUCUAGGCAAAUAGGUGUAAUGUUCGGCUGAAAAGGCUGGGACUCAGGUAACUUUCCCUAGUUGGAAAUGAACUUUCUAAUGGGCCUCAGAAGAAAUGUUAGGAGGGUCAGUGUAAAUUUAGAAGAAAAUCAGGGUAUGAAAAAAAACACUUAAACAAGAAAAAUAGUUCUAAUAAAUAAUAGUUUCCUCUCUGUUGAAACAUACUAUCUGAUGAAUGGACUAUCGCGUAAAGCUGUCCUUGCUUCCACAUCAACAAAGGACCGUUGUAUGAUUGGCCAGGUUUUUACAUAAGAAGAAUGACACCUUAAAUUAUAAGUCCUUGUGAGUAGAGAAAGAAUUUAAAGCUACUUAGAAGAAAUUACGAACAAGUCAUCUCAGAUCAUCUUUGUAAUAGAGGGAACGCCCCCAGGGCCAUACAUGCUGUGCUGCUGAAAUCUUGGGGAAGAUUUACCAGAAUUUGAGGGUAGUAGAAAUAGCCAAAAAUGUGAAAUACUGAGCACUCUUAAUGAUUAGUUAAGUUGGUCAACCAACUUGAAUUGGCAUUAAGAAAGCGUUUUAGUAAAAUAAAUAAUACAGAUAAAGCCUAAUUUCCUUUAAUUGAGGGCAAUUAUUGAGUAGUAAAGCACAGUAGAAGUAAUUUUGGAUAAAGGUAACUUAAAUUUUUCUGUAAGUAACUUCUCAGCCAUUUCCUGAUGUUUUCUUUCAGUAUUUUAGAAUCAUUAAAGACAAUGGAAACCUCCACACAUGAAUUCCAUUGCUGUGUUGAGCUUGUCAUAUAUAUUACCAUGGAGAAUUUGCAUCUUUACAGUUGUCUGUUAUCCAUCUUACCCAUGUUUGGGGGCAACUUUUUGGCAGGAGAUAGAGUCCCUGUACUAUUAGCAACAGUGAAACCGUCUCUACUUGUUUGAAUAUAUGUAUGUACCAGACUCAGCUUCUCCAGUUGCUUUAUAUAUUUUUGUUUCACAGUUAAGAGAAUGACUGUUUAAUGCUCUCUUUCAAGUUGUUUCUGCAUUUUCUAUGAUUUUCACCAGAUGGCAUUUAGCGCAAUGGGUAUAUUCCAGUUGUGCUUACCUAGCGUUUGCUUACAUCUACAUUGUUUUUUUCUGGUCUAUUUUUGGUUCCCUUCUUGAUGGCAAAGCUAUAAUUUUAGGCAGGACUGUGCCUCAGUCUAUAGCUGUGCCUACUUCCUUUACUCAUCCAUGUUAGCUGGCAGUUUUCUUUUAAAAAGUUGAACAAAAACGGGAUAUGUGCAAUAGAAAUAUAUAUAUGUAUAUUUUAAUACUUGUGGACAAAUGUUACAAGUUGUUUAAGAACAACAAAAUCACCAAUGUCUUCCAUUUUGAGAUGUGUAUAGUUUUGUAAGCAUUAGUGCUUGGUAGCAUAUUGUAGUGCCAUGUUAGGGGUUAGUGCAUGAGCCUAGUAAUAAUUUAAACUUCAGGAUGAAUUAUUGAUAAUAACUAAUAGUGUAAAAAGAGUGGAAAAUCUAGAUCUUUUCUUUUCUCAUAAAUAUCUGAAUCUGUGAUAUUCUCCCUGGGGAAAAGAGCUUAAGGCCAAAAAGACUCAUUUAUGAAUAGAAAUCUGCCUUUAUGUCUUACAAAACCUUAAUUCAAAAUGAGGCCCCAUUUCAUGACUCUGCUCUCUGAGUUUGAAGUCAGAUUGUUCUGGCAUUGUUUUCACGUUGUCUUCUAGGUUUAUUAUGUUCCCAUUCCUUUUGCAUCAGAUUAUAUUUUGCAUGUCUUACUGAGAUGCUGUGUUAAUUGCUCGAGUGCUUUUCUAAUCUGCAGACCAUUUAUGUUUCCUGUCUGCGGUGUGCUAUGUGUUAAUGGAAGAACUCUGGUCAGUGUCUUAGAUUAAUUUUUCACAGGCAUUUCCUGUUUCUAAAUCUGCUGAAUUGUGUACUGUUGCGAUUCCAGACCUUUUCAUGAGAAUCAGAAACAUUGUUAAAUGGAGCCUGCCUAGAUUGCUGUGUAUUAACUAACUCUGCUUGGUUAUAGUAAAUUGCCUCAGAUAGCUUUCACAUUUUUCUACUUUCCUUGUAGAAAUAAAAGUUGUUUUGUUCUGAAAGCAAAGAUAUUCCUACCUCUAAAAAGCUUUCUUGAGAACUCUGAAACAGUAGUUUUCUAGGGUGAUUUUUAAAUUUCAGUAUUAGGAGAGUCUAGAAUUUAUUGACAUAGAUUCUACAGUUAGUAUGAUAGGAAAGGCAAAACUUUUUUUAAAUUAUUUUAUUGGAGUAUAGUUGACUUAAAUGUCAUGUUAGCUUCAGGUUACAGCAAAGUGAAUCAUUUAUGCAAAACUUUUUUAAUGUGGUGUGUCACAUGUGCAGAAGUAGGCUUAAACAAAUUGACUCUUGGGCAACAGAUCUCCAGGGACCCAGGUUUAGAUUCUCAUGGUGUACUUAAAGUAAUUGUACUCUUGGUUUCAAGUAGUGUAGUGCCUGGGAGACUCCAUUUCUGAAAACCAUUUAAACAUUUUUGAAAAAUACCUCUGAAAAGGUAAUGAAUGCAAAAUAGCACAGUAUAUAGGAAAGGAUGUUUCUUGUUGAAAAAAAAAAAAGCCAUAAAACAAACUAAUAAUUUUCAAGAGGUAGAAUUUUAGUAGCAAUAACAGUUUUGCAUGUCACGUUAGAUUGUAUAGUAGACUACUGCUUGAGUUUGUGAGGCUCUGAUCAACAGAGUUCCAUGAAAGGAAAACGAUGUUCUAGGUAAAGAGUAUAUAAAAGGUACUUUCUCUUAAAAAUAUGAAUGUGUGAAAUGUCAUUAUGUGAGAAAUAGCAUCUUUUGUGUAAGUUAAGGUUAAAACCGUAUUUGUUUCCUAGAGCAGAGGGGUAGCGCCAUUGAAUGAAACUUUUCUAAUGCUUAACCUGGAAACAAAUGUGCUGCUACUGAUGUAGUCCCACUGAAGCUCAUCAUGUAGGGAUUUUGCUUCUGAUGUUUAUUUAGCAACAGGCAUUUAUAAAAUGACAUACUCUUUGCUUUGUCACCUCAUCUUUCUCCAUUAGUUUCCUGGGUGUGUAUAUAGUUAGGAUUUUUAAAAGGAAAAAAAAAAAAAAAAAAAAAAACCCAAAAACUGGGAAACCUGUCGGGAAGUUAGGAUCUAAAGGUGUAAAGCAAAAGUAUUGAAGGGAAUAGCCAAAGACAACAGUUGUUUUUUUAAACUUUCUCUAAUGUAGCAGGGCUGAGGCCUUCGGCCUAUGACUGCUUAUUUUAACAAGAACCCAGCAAACUGUUUCUCAAUCUGAGGAAACACACAGCUCUCACAUCAGGAUAUAAUAGUAGAAUAAGGGUGACUUCUUACUCCCUUUUACCUCGUGUUCAUCUUGGCUAUUUAGCACCUUGAAGAUCCCUAAAAAUACUGGGUCUGUGUUCCCUUGUUUUCCCAGGGGAAAAAACUGCAAGUGGAGUGGAUCUGAGAAAAUAGUGCCUCUUGAAUAUUAAAUUCUUUUAUGGCAACUCCAAAGGAUAGAGAGAAAUUGAUUAUAGCUCCUCUUUAAAUGUCCUAUGCCAUCAGGUGGUGUUAGAGACAUUGAGAUAACCAAGCAAUAUUUCAGACAUCUGCACGAUCAUGAGGACAUCACUGCAUGUUACAGUGAUGUCAGCAGUUUAGUUACUUAGAACAAUUAAAAGUUACUCUUAACAGCCACGUUAAUAGUUCUAAAUGCUCUAAUGAGCUACAAGUUUUUGUAGUCUCAGAGUAUGUGUUGGAUUACUUUUCAAUGUUAUGGUCUCAUGUUUACCCUUUGUGUACCUGUGAUAUGCAAAAUAUGAAGAGACCCUUGGCCUCCAGGAGUUUACAUUCUCAUGGUGCUGCUGGUGCAAGCAAAUUGCUUCUAGUUUAUUCAGAACAUUGUUUGGCUGUUAAUUAUACCAUAUUUGGAAGGAUUUCUUGGCCAACAGUUUUCAGAAGCAGAGGGCUAUGCUAUACUUCAGGGCAUUGAUUUUGAGUUUACAUUGUAUUAGCUUUGCUAUUCAUAAACUCCUUUUCCCCAGGGAGCUGUGCAGGUAAUGCUCAUUAAUGUGAAUCAGAGAAAAAAAAAAGAAAAAA